rnacentral:rRNA from 1 species
UAGAGUUUGAUCCUGGCUCAGAACGUACGCUGGCGGCACGCCUAACACAUGCAAGUCGAACGAAGUAGCAAUACUUAGUGGCAGACGGGUGAGUAACAUGUAGGUAUCUGCCCUUUGGCCUGGAAUAACACGAGGAAACUUGUGCUAAUACCGGAUAAGUCUUUACGGAGAAAGCUUUAUGCACCAUUGGAUGAGCCUGCACUUGAUUAGUUUGUUGGUGGGGUAAUGGCCUACCAAGACUGUGAUCAAUAGCUGAUUUGAGAGGAUGAUCAGCCACAUUGGGACUGAGACACGGCCCAAACUCCUACGGGAGGCAGCAGUGGGGAAUCUUGCACAAUGGAGGAAACUCUGAUGCAGCGAUGCCGCGUGAGUGAAGAAGGCCCUUGGGUUGUAAAGCUCUUUCGUCGGGGAAGAAAAUGACUGUACCCGAAUAAGAAGGUCCGGCUAACUUCGUGCCAGCAGCCGCGGUAAUACGAAGGGACCUAGCGUAGUUCGGAAUUACUGGGCUUAAAGAGUUCGUAGGUGGUUGAAAAAGUUAGUGGUGAAAUCCCAGAGCUUAACUCUGGAACUGCCAUUAAAACUUUUCAGCUAGAGUAUGAUAGAGGAAAGCAGAAUUUCUAGUGUAGAGGUGAAAUUCGUAGAUAUUAGAAAGAAUACCAAUUGCGAAGGCAGCUUUCUGGAUCAUUACUGACACUGAGGAACGAAAGCAUGGGUAGCGAAGAGGAUUAGAUACCCUCGUAGUCCAUGCCGUAAACGAUGUGUGUUAGACGUUGGAAAUUUAUUUUCAGUGUCGCAGGGAAACCGAUAAACACACCGCCUGGGGAGUACGACCGCAAGGUUAAAACUCAAAUGAAUUGACGGGGACCCGCACAAGUAGUGGAGCAUGUGGUUUAAUUCGAAGAUACGCGCAGAACCUUACCAACACUUGACAUGUUCGUCGCGACUCUAAGAGAUUAGAGUUUUCGGUUCGGCCGGACGAAACACAGGUGCUGCAUGGCUGUCGUCAGCUCGUGUCGUGAGAUGUUGGGUUAAGUCCCGCAACGAGCGCAACCCUCACUUUUAGUUGCCAUCAUUAAGUUGGGCACUCUGAAAGAACUGCCAGUGAUAAGCUGGAGGAAGGUGGGGAUGACGUCAAGUCCUCAUGGCCCUUACGUGUUGGGCUACACACGUGCUACAAUGGUAUCUACAACAGGAAGCAAGACUGCGAAGUUAAGCAAAUCCCUAAAAGAUACCUCAGUUCGGAUUGCACUCUGCAACUCGAGUGCAUGAAGCUGGAAUUACUAGUAAUCGUGGAUCAGCGUGCCACGGUGAAUGCGUUCCCGGGUCUUGUACACACCGCCCGUCACACCAUGGGAGUUGGUUCUACCUUAAGGCAAGGUUUCAAACCCUUGACCACGGUAUAGUCAGCGACUGGGGUGAAGUCGUAACAAGGUAACCA